AUUGAACGCUGGCGGCAUGCUUUACACAUGCGAGUCGAACGGCAGCGCGGGCUUCGGCCUGGCGGCGAGUGGCGAACGGGUGAGUAAUACAUCGGAACGUGCCCAGUAGUGGGGGAUAGCUCGGCGAAAGCCGGAUUAAUACCGCAUACGACCUGAGGGUGAAAGCGGGGGAUCUUCGGACCUCGCGCUAUUGGAGCGGCCGAUGGCAGAUUAGCUAGUUGGUGGGGUAAAGGCCUACCAAGGCGACGAUCUGUAGCUGGUCUGAGAGGACGACCAGCCACACUGGGACUGAGACACGGCCCAGACUCCUACGGGAGGCAGCAGUGGGGAAUUUUGGACAAUGGGCGAAAGCCUGAUCCAGCAAUGCCGCGUGUGUGAUGAAGGCCUUCGGGCUGUAAAGCACUUUCGGCGGGAACGAAAAGGACUGUGCCAAUACCACGGUUCGAUGACGGUACCCGCAGAAUAAGCACCGGCUAACUACGUG
rnacentral:rRNA from 1 species